rnacentral:rRNA from 1 species
AAGUCGUAACAAGGUUUCCGUAGGUGAACCUGCGGAAGGAUCAUUACAGUAGUCAUCCGGGUUGCCGCAAGGCCUCCCGGGUAACCUACCACCCUUUGUUUAUUACACUUUGUUGCUUUGGCAGGCCUGCCCUCGGGCUGCUGGCUCCGGCCGGCGAGCGCUUGCCAGAGGACCUAAACUCUGUUUGUCUAUAUCGUCUGAGUACUAUAUAAUAGUUAAAACUUUCAACAACGGAUCUCUUGGUUCUGGCAUCGAUGAAGAACGCAGCGAAAUGCGAUAAGUAAUGUGAAUUGCAGAAUUCAGUGAAUCAUCGAAUCUUUGAACGCACAUUGCGCCCCCUGGUAUUCCGGGGGGCAUGCCUGUCCGAGCGUCAUUACAACCCUCAAGCUCAGCUUGGUAUUGGGCCCCGCCGCCCCGGCGGGCCCUAAAGUCAGUGGCGGUGCCGUCCGGCUCCGAGCGUAGUAAUUCUUCUCGCUCUGGAGGCCCGGUCGUGUGCUCGCCAGCAACCCCCAAUUUUUUUCAGGUUGACCUCGGAUCAGGUAGGGAUACCCGCUGAACUUAA